CCACUGAGAGAAAAGAGUUUUAUAAAAGACGCCACUCUACGAGGGAAGUCCUCGGGUCGAGUCCUUGCGAGUUCAUCCCAAACAAAGCGAACCCCUUCCGGGUCUUGGUCGAGAAGAUGCAGAUAAAACGCCAAUAGCCUGAUGUCAGCUUCUACGGCAUAAGCUUUAAAGAAGAGAGCUAUCAACGCUAAUAAUAAAAAACAUUUCAUAAGAAAAUCCAAUUUUUUUUUUGAAUCUCAGGUGAAAUUUUGAACAGUCAUUUCAAUCUUUUUC
rnacentral:misc_RNA from 1 species